rnacentral:rRNA from 1 species
AUUGAACGCUGGCGGCAGGCCUAACACAUGCAAGUCGAGCGGAUGAAGGGAGCUUGCUCCUGGAUUCAGCGGCGGACGGGUGAGUAAUGCCUAGGAAUCUGCCUGGUAGUGGGGGAUAACGUCCGGAAACGGGCGCUAAUACCGCAUACGUCCUGAGGGAGAAAGUGGGGGAUCUUAGGACCUCACGCUAUCAGAUGAGCCUAGGUCGGAUUAGCUAGUUGGUGGGGUAAAGGCCUACCAAGGCGACGAUCCGUAACUGGUCUGAGAGGAUGAUCAGUCACACUGGAACUGAGACACGGUCCAGACUCCUACGGGAGGCAGCAGUGGGGAAUAUUGGACAAUGGGCGAAAGCCUGAUCCAGCCAUGCCGCGUGUGUGAAGAAGGUCUUCGGAUUGUAAAGCACUUUAAGUUGGGAGGAAGGGCAGUAAGUUAAUACCUUGCUGUUUUGACGUUACCAACAGAAUAAGCACCGGCUAACUUCGUG